CCUCACUCCUCCUGAAUUGUCUCUCUGCUUCAGAUAACCUCAUAACUCCCAACUGCAAGGGUUCAGGUUCAGCAGCUACAAUUGGAACAACAGGGUUGGAGAAGUGGGGAGCAAGAAAAGUGCUGUUUUUUCAUGGUUUGUUUCUGAUCCUUUCCCUUUCUCUUAGCCUGUUAUCUAUCUGUAUCAUAUAAGUUAUAUACUCGUUAC